CCAGCAGGUUUGUGUGGAUUUUUCUGUGUUUUAACCUAGAAGUAUUUUUUUCAGCAAGAUUUUGGAGCAAGAUUUAUUUUCAGUUUCUUUGAGGCAGUUUGGAGCCAGAACGGAACAAAAAAGCCUCCAAACACCAAAGGAAAUGGUGCCACUGAACAAAGGGUCUCUUGUUUGUAAACUUCCAUUUUAAAGUGUUGGUGAAUGUUCUACUGGAACAGUUUUUCAUUUUUCACUUAUACAGUCCAGUGUUUUAAAUACUAACCUAUUCAAGAGUCAAGUACUUUUCAGGGUCCUUUGGAGUGCCUUUUCAGCUCUGCGCUGUCUUCACUCCUAUGUAUCGAUCCUCUUAGAUAAUGUAUCCAAAGAGAAAAAGGAGAGAGUGUUUCAGUUUGCAGAGAAGCACAGCUGAAGAGACUGAGCUGAAUCUCUCCUGUAAUCUGUCAGCUGCAGAGCCUUCAUCACUGAAUGAUCCUCACCUCAUGUUUCUUGCAGCACAAGAGCAGGACUCUAUUUCAGAAAAAUAACAACCCAGGAACAAAAUUUAUAAAAAAAUAAACAACAGAAACAACAUUCCCAUUCUCCCCCUCAAUUUUCCUUUGAAUCUAGACAUGGUCUAACCGGGAGAAUUUUUUUUUCUCUGCACUUCUACCUUAAUAUUUCUGUCUACAUUGCUGCGCCUCUCUCUGCUGCCAAAGCUAAGUGUUUGCUGAAUUAAAUAAACCAUGCUGCAUUGAUAGAGCUCGUGAAUGCUGCUAUUGUCACCAGAAUCCCUUUUGCUGGUCUGACCCCAAAUCCUAAUGCCAACUGUGAUGCAGCCGUAAGUGAACAAGAAUCGAUCAUGCUGACGAGAUGAACAGACUCUCCAAAAGUGUGCUCCAGGAUGCCUUGAUCCACGCUGAGAGCCUCAGAAUCCAGCUGAGCAUUGCUUGGAUGUGAACUUCCCUUCCUGUUUCCCAGCACAGGUUGCUCUCAGGCACAAGAUUCUGCAAGCUAUUUUGGUUGGUCCUGCCAUGAAGGAGAUGGUCCUGUGGAAACGCUAACCUACAGCUGCUGCCUUCCAGCACCCUGCUAGAUGUGCACAGGAGGAAGCAAGAAGAUAAGCAAGGACACCCCUCAGUCCUCCUUCUUGAUGCUAAGAGGAUGUAGUGACACCUAGAAUUGAGAGUUUCUAUCUCUAGGGGAACUGUCCUAACUUCUGACAGAGGGAAAAUAUCAGAUUCCACUGACUACUUCUGCUAUCUAAGUAUUUUAUAUGGAAACUUGUAAUCUGGGGAAAGCUGCAAGCUAAGAAUCUCAGAGGCAGCAACCCCUACCACUGUGAGACUGUUAUGACGGAGCUGGUCCCUGCCUCUAUGAACUUGGUCCCAAUUUAUAUUAGACUGUGUAGUAACCCCCAGCACCGCCUUCCUGUGUGUCCAUCUCCUGCAGUGCCAGGGUAGCACUAAGGGCUUCUAGCCAGCAUAGUCCUGUGUAAACAAUGACUAUUUAUUCAUUCUCAGAGAAGGGACCUGAGGCUGAGUGCUUUUAAGUAAGUGGGACAUACAGUGGCCUUCUGCAGUUCUGUGCAUCUGACCCUUUUCUUCAUUGAUUCUACUCCAAGCACCUGCAAAUGUAACAUUCCGUACUGAAAACGUUUUGUGCUUAAUGGCUUGCUUUCACUGUUGUGAGAAAAAUGAAAAUUUCAGAGGGGUUGCAAUCAAGACUCUUCCCUGUCCUCUCCAUUCUGUUGUCAACAUGAAAAAUCAGCUAUUCCUGUAAUCCAAGUCCCAGGAUAAUGUCAAAUGAAGUCCACACAGGAGAGGCAAGAGUACAGAUGCAAGGGCAGCCUGUUGGGCUCCCCAACCUUCAGAUUCUGCAAGUGGCAGCACUGUGCUGACCUUCCAGAAAGUGGGAAUGACACAAGAGAUUGCCAUGUGACUCCUAAUGCUUUAUGGGUAAUUGGAAUGGUGAUGCACCCAACUGACUGCUGCAGUUUUCUGAGGUUGGCCAUUUUAACCCACGGUCUGAAAAUUUUAUGGGUUUUUUUAGAAAAUAGGUCCCUUGCAACCAUAUCUCUGCUAAAAUGUGGUUAUUCUACAGAAAAGAAAAAGUGAGUAAAAAUAUAGUAGAUCUUCAAAGCAACACAAUUCUUCAACCUGGAGAAGAAAUACCUUCAGAUUUCCACUCCAAGUACUACUGUGCCUUCUCCGGGUGGAUGGAAUAAAGAAAUAAGGAGGCUCUGAAAUGCGAAGCUCAGCUGCAGCAAACUCACCAGCUUUUGCCUGAGAGGAUACUGCUUCUUCAGCUAUAUAGUGAGCAUGAGCUAUUUUGUCUUCCUUGAGACAGGAAAGCUCUGAACUUUCCGGAUAAAUCCAUAGUUUAAUCCAGUUCUGGAGUAAUUACAAGGGCCCUGAGCUGAACUUGAAGUUUUUUGGUCUGGAUAUGAUGAACUGCUCUUCACUCUGUCUGGGGACCUUGGAAACACGUAUGUCCAGUUUCAGGAAUACUGGCCCUCAGAAGUGAUAGGUCAUGUCAGAAAAGGUGCACAAUGAUUAUGCCCAUCCUAGCACAAGGGUUGCUUAUUAACUGUUAUUAACUUGUGAAGUUGCCAAUUAACAUUAUUUAAUGUAUAGGGAAAGAAACUAAAUUUACAGACUAAGUAAUUUCUCUGUUUUAAUGCUCCGUGGAUUCCAGUGUUUGGCAUAAUAAACUUCAUGUGGUAAAUUACACUUAGGUUCCUUUUCACUUGCUUUGCUUUUGCAGUUGCAUUAAUAAAGCCUCCAAAACACACCUGUAAAUCUCAAGAAAAAUAACCUAAGUAUCUAACUAAGAAAUUAUAGCCUGAGUGAUAACUUCUUUC